AAGGCUUUAAGUUAAAAAAACUAAUAGCCUUCAAAGCUAUAAAUACAAGUACAAUCUUUUAAGCCUUA
rnacentral:tRNA from 1 species